rnacentral:snoRNA from 1 species
AUGUCUCUUGCCUCGCUCGGUCUGCCGUUUCCCCUCGGCUAAUCUUGAGCUGGAUGCAGCCGGUCACUUCUAGUGCUGGCUUGUACGAGACAAGAAGAAGCGUGAAAGCGCGUCGACGUUUUUUGAGUACGAUUUGAUCCGCAAUGCACCACGGGUCUCCGUCGUAAUUUAUCAGUCGGGACAACC